AUGGCCGCCGCCUCCUCCUCCACCGUCCUUGGUCCGUCUCCACUAUCCGACGGCGACGGCGAGCGCCACGACCCCCCAAACUGGAUCCUCCUGGACGGAAAAGGCUACAUCGCUGAAUGCCCCAACGCCACCUUCGCCCAGGGCUCCACCAGCACCGGCUAACGCAUCGAGGUGUCCUUCUGCACGGCCCGCCCUCCCCACGUCCACUUCUGCGUCCACUGCCCGGGCCUCGGACCCGCCGAUUUUUCCUUGGCUCCCAUGAUCAUCAGCGCGGAGCUCAUCCUCUUCUGCGUGUCCGUCAGCCCUUCCAUCCUCUUCAAUCCGCGUUACCGUGAGUACUUCCUCUACAAGGCGCACCCUCGGUGCCCGGUGCUGGAGCUUCUUCCCCACCCGUACCCGCACCACUUCCGCGACUAGGAGGUCGCCCUCCUGAGCCUCGGCGACGACGGGGCUGAGUACGCCAUUGCCAUUCUCACAAGCAGGUGCCUGAAGGAGGAUGGUACGCUCAACGAGACGGAGUUUGAUCUUUGCCUAUACCGCUCCUCCAAAGCUCAGGAGGGGUGGACAUCCAAGGUGGUGUCCGUGGCAGAUCCAGUGAGGGACGCGGUGUGCCCUGUGGAUUGUGCACCAUACCAUGAGACAACCAAGGUGAUCACGCUCCGGCGUGGCAUGGUCUGCUGGGUUGACCUCUGGCGUGGCAUCCUCCUCUGCAAUGUGCUCGAGGAAAAUCCCCUUCUCCUUGACAUCCCGCUACCGCUGCCGGCGAGAGUUAACUGGAGACUCUACCACAAAUCCAGCUCAUACAAAUAUCGGGACAUCACCGUCAGCCCGCUCAAGGAUAGCAUCAAGCACAUUGAGACUGAAGUCUGCCCACCAAGAAACCCUCCUCCUGAUGAGUCCUCUUGUACGGGUUGGAAGGCCAGGACAUGGAGCCUAUCGACCACCACGGUUCCUUCAUGGAAUGACUGGCGCCUGGACUGCACCCUCGAUGUUGCUGACAUCGAUGUCCAACCAAUCCAUUCUAAGCAGCUGCCUAGCCCGAGGAGCAUCAGCGACAACCUCACCCAAGGGACGUUACUGCAAUGCCUCAUCAUUGGGUUCCCCACCUUGAGCAUGGAUGAUGAUGUUGUGUACAUGCUUUCUAAGGCCUGCCCUGCGGACCAGAUGGAAGUAGUGAUUGUUGUUGAUAUGAGGAAGAAGGCGCUUCAGGGAGUGGCUAAGCUUGUUACCGGAAAAGAUUUCACUGAUACACGUAUUUGCACCAGUGAAAUCUCCAAAUAUCUUAGGAAAGAUGAAGGUAAUUUUGCUUACUACUUGCUUUGUGUAUGUGUGACUACAUGUAUGAAUUAUCUGUUUAUCUUAAACCCCCUCCGUCCGAAAAAGCCUGACAUGAGACAAGCUUUUUCGGACGGAGGUAUGUACUGA
rnacentral:rRNA from 1 species